GUGCAGCAGUCGAGAAUCUUUCGCAAUGGGCGCAAGCCUGACGAAGCGACGCCGCGUGUUCGAUGAAGCCCUUCGGGGUGUAAAGAGCUUUUAACCGGGAUGAACCUUCGGGUGACAGUACCGGUUGAAUAAGGGGCCGCUAAACUCGUGCCAGCAGCGGCGGUAAUACGAGUGCCCCGAGCAUUAUCCGGAUUUAUUGGGCGUAAAGAGCCUUAAGGCGGUUAAGAAAGUCUCUGGUCAAAUACUUGGAGCUCAACUUCAAGACCGCCAGAGAUACUUCUUGACUAGAGGGCGUUAGAGGCCAGCGGAACGGCCGGUGUAGGGGUGAAAUCCGUUGAUAUCGGCCGGAACACCAAAAGCGAAGGCAGCUGGCUGGGGCGACCCUGACGCUGAUUGGCGAAAGCGUGGGGAGCAAAAAGGAUUAGAUACCCCCGUAGUCC
rnacentral:rRNA from 1 species